AACCUACGGGAGGCAGCAGUAGGGAAUCUUUCACAAUGGGCGAAAGCCUGAUGGAGCAACGCCGCGUGCAGGAUGAAGGUUUUCGGAUCGUAAAGCUCUGUUGUAAGAGAAGAACGAGUGUGAGAGUGGAAAGUUCACACUGUGACGGUAUCUUACCAGAAAGGGACGGCUAACUACGUGCCAGCAGCCGCGGUAAUGGUU
rnacentral:rRNA from 1 species